rnacentral:lncRNA from 1 species
GUCUCACCCAGCCACUUGCUGGGUGUUGGAGCCAGCAGAGGGUUUGGGGGUGCCACAGAGCUGGGCAGCUGCAACUGCUGAUGCUGCUUGUCCUUCACAACCUCUUUACUGCUUAUUGGGUGAUUUUUUUUCAGAAAACUCACUGGACCCACACAUUGCACUCAAUUCUCUUGGAGGCGAAAGGGAUGAUUGAAUUGGCACAACAUUAAAAAGGGAAAAAGUCCAAGCAGACCUGGGGUAGUUUAUCCCUCCAUGCAAAAGGUUUGGAGCCUGGCUAAUGUGGUCAUGGAGCAUCUGGAAUGGCUUGGCAUGCAUGAAGAGCAAGCUCCCAUCUCCAGAGAGCAAAGCAAUAAACCUUUUGUAUCACUGAAUUCCAGGAGGAGUAGUUCCAGGAGAGCUCAGGAAGAAACAGAAAGCUGCACAACAGCCUAAGAGCAGCUACCCACAGGAUUGAUGUGCUGGCUGGAUUUCAUGUUUAGGUGGGAUGCUUCCAGCCUGUGCUUCAGGUACUGAACUGCUCCUGUGUUUUAAGCUCACACUUUGAUUUGGUGCCAUGGGAGAUGUUCUGGAAUUGUGUGGUUAAAUGGUGUGGUGUAUUAUUGUAGAGUUUCUUUCUGAUAUUCAGGAGCUAAAUUAUUGCCAUCCCAUUACCCACUUAUGGCCUUAAUAAGAAAGCUGUGAAGAUCCAUGUUUUAUCCUUUUAGGGUACAAACUGUAUAACCAAAGGGACUAACCCCAUUCUGGUGAAUGGCUGAAAAUAUUUACUAUGGGAUAAAAAUUAAAUUAUGCUGAGAAACAUUGCUUUUAUGAAACAAUUUGUGCUGAGAAGAUGAGUCUGCUAUGAAAAGCACAGGAUUUUGUUGGAAAAGUGCCAGAACAGCACUGUCCCAAAAUGAUUAAUUUGACUUCACUAUAAAUUUGCUUAAUUCAAAUGAAUGGCUGGGCUUUGGGCUGGUUGGUAUUUUAGGUGGAAAUGGUUCAAAAUGGGAGUUGAAUGGCAAAGAUUUGGGAAAAUCUUCAUGGGUAAAGACUUAGACCCAAG